UCCCGUUUAGCUCAGUUGGUAGAGCGCGUCACUAGUACUUUCCUAUGACGAGGUCAGUCGUUCGAGUCGGCUAAUGGGAA